rnacentral:rRNA from 1 species
AAUGGAUUAAAGUCCCCUUUUUAUUACUUUGUUAUGAUAAAAUCACAUCUAUGGCUGCACUUAGCAUGAUAAUUGAAGUGAAUUAGAAAUAAAUCUAAAAGUAUUCUAAAUUAACUCAGCAAAAAACAUUGAACAAUGCUAUAACUAGCAAUUCAAUUAAUGCCUAUUAGUCUGACUAAGUAGGUGCCAGCAGUCGCGGUCACACCUACAGAUACAGUUGUGCUAAAUGUUCGUGGAUAGUUUGAAAAUAUAUGUAGACGGGUAAAAUUGUUAUAUAUAAUAUCUCUUUCUAAAUUUAAUCCCAAACUCUAAAUUUAAACCAGGAUUAGAUACCCUGCUAUAUAGAGCAAAAAUCAUACAACAAGCACUAAGACUUUUAAAGUUAAAACUUAAAUAACAUGGCGGCAGCUUCAAAUUUCAGGGGAACUUACCAGAUAAAUGAUAACCCGCAACAAACUCUCCUAACUCUAAAAGUCUGUAUAUCGCCGUCUUCAGGGCCCUUCUAUGAUGAGCCCAAAAUGUUCUUAGACAAAAAGACAGGUCAAGAUGCAACCAAUGGAUUAGACAUAAGGUGAGUUACUAUAAUUUUAAUUUUGGAAAUUAUUCGAACUAAGAAUUGAAACCGGACUUGAAAGUAAAAUUUAUUAAAACUACAAUUUGAAUUUUCAAAAAGCUGUGUACAAAUCGCCCGUCACUCUCGUUGAAACUAAAGGAGGCAAGUCGUAACAUAGUAAGUGUACUGGAAAGUGCACUUG